CCUACGGGAGGCAGCAGUGAGGAAUAUUGGUCAAUGGGCGCGAGCCUGAACCAGCCAAGUAGCGUGAAGGAUGACUGCCCUACGGGUUGUAAACUUCUUUUAUAAAGGAAUAAAGUGAGGCACGUGUGCCUUUUUGUAUGUACUUUAUGUAUAAGGAUCGGCUAACUUCGUGCCAGCAGCCGCGGUAAUACGGAGGAUCCGAGCGUUAUCCGGAUUUAUUGGGUUUAAAGGGAGCGUAGAUGGGUUGUUAAGUCAGUUGUGAAAGUUUGCGGCUCAACCGUAAAAUUGCAAUUGAUACUGGCAGCCUUGAGUACAGUUGAGGUAAGCGGAAUUCGAGGUGUAGCGGUGAAAUGCUUAGAUAUAACGAAGAACUCCGAUUGCGAAGGCAGCUUACUAGACUGCCACUGACAUUGAUGCUCGAAAGUGUGGGUAUCAAACAGGAUUAGAUACCCGUGUAGUC
rnacentral:rRNA from 1 species